UACUCACAGACACACACACAAAUUACCCACUCCCGAUGCGGGGAGGUAGUGACGAAAAAUAACAAUGCCGGAUUCUUUAGACACCCUGUUAUUGGAAUGAGUACACUUUAAAUCCUUUAACGAGGAUCUAUUGGAGGACAAGUCUGGUGCAGAGCGACUGACCCGUGCGUGCUGCAGCUGAAACUCCACU